rnacentral:rRNA from 1 species
AUUGAACGCUGGCGGCAGGCCUAACACAUGCAAGUCGAACGGUAACAGGAAGAAUCUUGCUUCUUUGCUGACGAGUGGCGGACGGGUGAGUAAUGUCUGGGAAACUGCCUGAUGGAGGGGGAUAACUACUGGAAACGGUAGCUAAUACCGCAUAACGUCGCAAGACCAAAGAGGGGGACCUUCGGGCCUCUUGCCAUCGGAUGUGCCCAGAUGGGAUUAGCUAGUAGGUGGGGUAACGGCUCACCUAGGCGACGAUCCCUAGCUGGUCUGAGAGGAUGACCAGCCACACUGGAACUGAGACAAGGUCCAGACUCCUACGGGAGGCAGCAGUGGGGAAUAUUGCACAAUGGGCGCAAGCCUGAUGCAGCCAUGCCGCGUGUAUGAAGAAGGCCUUCGGGUUGUAAAGUACUUUCAGCGGGGAGGAAGGGAGUAAAGUUAAUACCUUUGCUCAUUGACGUUACCCGCAGAAGAAGCACCGGCUAACUCCGUG